GUAUCUGAGAAACCGAUCCCUCAAAUCUCUCUCUCUCGCUCUCUCUCUCUCUCUCUCUCUAAACCCUCAGCUCCUUCAACUCGAUUCAACCUUCUUCAGCUCGGUGAUUCAUCAUUCGGUCGAUCUAAUGCAAAUGGUAUGAAUACACAACUAAUUUUGAUUUCGAAGCUCCACCGCCACCGUCAGCACCAUCUCCAUCUGCAUCUGCAUCUGCAUCUGCAUCGUCUACUAACCAUCUGCACAAUUUCGAUUUCAAACCAAUCUCAGCUCUCGAAUGAUCCAAUCGUUGAUUGGCAGUGACGGAAAAAAAUCAACUCCUGUGAGAAAAGAAACCUAACUUUCUCAUUGGAGAGUGAUGGAAACUAUAUUCUCCAGAGAAGAGGCAACUAUGGACUCAACUGAAUUUCUAAUUAGAGUAUCUUUUAUUGAGAUGUUUAAGGAAGAGGUAUUUGAUCUACUGGAUCAAAGCCCACCAGUUCUUUCCCGAUGAGAUGGGGUGUCUCUAGCAAAGCCUGCUGGUGGACCUGCAAGAGUUCCUAUCCAAAUCAAAGAAACUACAAAGCGGGGGAUAACACUUGCUGGUGUGACGGAGGCAGAGGUCAGGACAAAAGAAGAGAUGGCUUCAUUUCUAUUGCGUGGUUCAUUAACUCGUGCUACUAGGAGCACUAACAUGAAUAGCCAAUCAAGUUGUGGGUUGCAGGUGAGGUGAACUUGGGGUGCAUUUUGGACACAUGAGCAAGUGAAGUCAAGUGACAGUGAAUCUGUGGUUUGAUGAUGUGAUGCUCAACCCCACACCGAUUGAUUCCCAGGUUUCAAGAACGACAGACGAAACAAAAUUUCAUACUUAUUUUUUUUCUUUUUGCACAGUUUGUUUGAGUAGGAUUUGAGAGGUUUUAGCUGGGGAAGAAGCUUCAAAAUGUUUGGGUUUACCCGCAGAUGAAUGAAGAUUGGGAGCGGAAGCACCAGAUUUUGCAGUUGGUCUUAGCUCAAAUCCUGAUGCUGUUACUAGACAUGAUAAAAGAUCAAGAAAGCGUACAGUUUCAGAUGUGUUGAAUUUGAUUCCAUCACUUCAAUGUUUAGAGCUCCAGUCAGGAUUUAGUAAGAGAAGAAAAAUCAUGGAUUCGAGAUACAGUCGUCAGACUUCACCACAGGCACUCAUUUCAUCGGAGAUGAUUGGCAAAACUGAAGGUUACAAUUAUGCAAGUCUAAUAGCUGAAGCAAAUAAAGGAAAUGACCAGUGGCAAAUAAGUAGACCAAAUAAGAAAAAUCAUGGCUACUUAUUAGGGUCAUAACAAUAGUCUACUUAUUGGCCUAAGGUCUCCAAAAUUCAUCCAAUAUUUCGGAGUAUUUCUAUAACGUAUAUGACAUGGUCCCAAAAUUUUUCCAAAAUUCUUUUGGUUUUCCUAUAUUUCAUGAGUAUUUUUACAGUGUACAUGGGAUGACUAUUCACAUAUUAAUAUUAUAUAAUAGCAUCAGUGUGUACUUU